ACCUGACUGCUAUCGGAUUGAUACUAAGCCAUGCGAGUCAUUGUAGCAAUACAAGGCAGACGGCUCAGUAACACGUAGUCAAUCUAACCUAUGGACGGGGAUAACCUCGGGAAACUGAGAAUAAUACCCGAUAGGCCACCAUGCCUGGAAUGGUUUGUGGCCCAAAUGAUUUAUCGCCGUAGGAUGGGACUGCGGUCUAUCAGCUUGUUGGUGAAGUAAUGGCCCACCAAGGCUAUAACAGAUACGGGCUCUGAGAGGAGAGGCCCGGAGAUGGGUACUGAGACACGGACCCAGGCCCUAUGGGGCGCAGCAGGCGAGAAAACUUUGCAAUGUGCGAAAGCACGACAAGGUUAAUCCGAGUGUUUUCUGCUAAAGAAAUCUUUUACCGGUCUUAAAACCACCGGCGAAUAAGGGGUGGGCAAGUUCUGGUGUCAGCCGCCGCGGUAAAACCAGCACCUCAAGUGGUCAGGAGGAUUAUUGGGCCUAAAGCAUCCGUAGCCUGCCGUGUAAGUUUUCGGUUAAAUCUAUGCGCUCAACGCAUAGGCUGCCGGAAAUACUGCACGGCUAGGGAGUGGGAGAGGUAGACGGUACUCAGUAGGAAGGGGUAAAAUCCUUUGAUCUAUUGAUGACCCCCUGUGGCGAAGGCGGUCUACUAGAACACGUCCGACGGUGAGGGAUGAAAGCUGGGGGAGCAAACCGGAUUAGAUACCCGGGUAGUCCCAGCUGUAAACAAUGCAAACUCGGUGAUGCAUUGGCGUAAGAGCCAGUGCAGUGCCGCAGGGAAGCCGUUAAGUUUGCCGCCUGGGAAGUACGUACGCAAGUAUGAAACUUAAAGGAAUUGGCGGGGGAGCACCACAAGGGGUGAAGCCUGCGGUUC
rnacentral:rRNA from 2 species